AUCCUACGGGACGCAGCAGUGGGGAAUAUUGGGCAAUGGGCGCAAGCCUGACCCAGCAACGCCGCGUGAAGGAAGAAGGCUUUCGGGUUGUAAACUUCUUUUAAGAGGGACGAAGGAAGUGACGGUACCUCUUGAAUAGGCCACGGCUAACUACGUGCCAGCAGCCGCGGUAAUACGUAGGUGGCAAGCGUUAUCCGGAUUUACUGGGUGUAAAGGGCGUGUAGGCGGGACUGCAAGUCAGAUGUGAAAAUUAUGGGCUCAACCCAUAACCUGCAUUUGAAACUGUAGUUCUUGAAUGAUGGAAG
rnacentral:rRNA from 1 species